rnacentral:lncRNA from 1 species
GUAUAUUGGGGAACUCACUAAGCAUUUAUGCUUACAGUUGUUGUGCAUGUAUUUCAGGUACUAGCGAGGACCGUGGGAAGGCGCCGGCAUGAUCGAUACACACUGAAGAUUGUUUUAUGAUCUUGGGAGUUUGAAUAAUUGUAUUGACCGAAUAAUUAAACUGUUUAUGCCUUGUUUUUAAUGGAAAUAAUUAUGUUUUAAAAAUGAAAAAUUUGUUUGAAAAAUUUGAGUUGUUACAAUUGGUAUCAGAGCCUUGGUUUGAGGGAUUCGGGUGCACCUUCGGGGGUAACUGAACUCAAACCGAGGAUUUGAGGAAACUUUUCAAAUAAAGGCAUAAACUUUUGUAAAUGGUUUUGUGGUAAGCAAGAAAGAAGCAGUGUGUACGAUCAGUCAGCGCCCGAACGGUAAAGAUCCCCAAAAUACCUUACAAUAUUAUAUGAUAUGAAUUGUUAUGCAUGCUAGAAGACUAGGUAUUCAUGAUAGGACUAGAGUGGCCUGAUUUGUGAUGCCUUAGUCUAGGGAAGUUGCCUAUAUGAGAUGCUUUGCUAGUAUGCGGGUAGAUAGAGCGUAUCAGAAGUAGAGUACUCACUAUCUGGAGUUUGGGGAGGAGGACUUGGGAUGAACAUUGAUGCGGUGUGGUCGGUAGUAUUGGGCCCGUACUACCGAGGACACCGGGUCAGUGGGAGGCCCAAGUAAGAAUCCCUGGAUAUCUGGGACUGAGUAGGGUUGCGUGUCGAGUACGAUUAUACUCGGUAGAAUCUCUGAUAGUUUUAUGUUGUAUUUCAGAGAUAUCAUGGUUAGACCGCGGCACGGGGCAAGUACGAGCGGUGUGAGUGACGAGGAUAUUCGUCAGAUGAUCCACGAGGAGGUGGCGGCGGCGAUCCGGGCUGAGAUCCCGGAGAUGUUUGGGUCUAUCAAGACCACCCUGAUGGAGACGUUCGACGAGCGGUACGCCGCAUUGACUGAGGCUGCAACCGCUGCAGCUACCGCAGCUGUGGCCGCUGCUAGGCCACAGGGGGGUGAUUCAUUGCUGUUCCGAGAGUUCAGCAACACGAAGCCACCAGAGUUCGAUGGGACGCAGGAUCCGAUUGCUGCGAUGAGGUGGAUCGCAGAUAUAGAGGGGUGCUUCUACACUUGUUCAUGCCCGGAGCACCUGAGGGUACGGUUCGCUUUGAACCAGCUCCGUCUGGGAGCCAAGGACUGGUGGAAGUUCGUGACGGCGAACUUCACUUUAGCAGAGACUGCGGCAGUGACAUGGGAGGGGUUCACUACCAUGUUCAGGGAUGAGUACGUUCCCCCGGUGGAGCGGGAACGAUUGGUUCAGGAGUUCUUAACCCUCAAGCAGGGUACUGAUUCGGUGGCGGCGAUCACGCGGAAGUUCCAUGAGAGGGCGAUGUUUUGCCCCGAGCUGGUGGCCACAGAGCAGGCUCGGAUGAGCCGGUACUUGGGUGUUCUGAGGAGGGAGAUCCGGGAGUUUGUGUCAAACUCCACUUACCAUACUUUUACUGAGCUUCAGGCGAAUGCCAGGAAGCGUGAGAUCGAGUUAGAGACUCAGGCCAGGGAGGAGGCCGAGUCUCAGCAGGCAGACCGGCGACCGGCUCAGUCUCAGCCGGCAGCCAAGCGGAUCAAGUCCGCCGAUUCGAGGACGGGAGGUUCGAAGAACCGCACUUGCGUAAAGUGCGGUAAGGGUCACGAUGGGGCGUGUCGAGCCGGUGCUUGCUACAAGUGUGGCAAGGAGGGACACAUUGCUAGGGAGUGUCCCAAGGGAUUUAUGGUUUGCUUUCAUUGCAACCAGACCGGCCAUCGGAAGGCCGAGUGCCCUCAGCUUCGUCAGGGAUCUGCACCUGUUGCCAGGACUACUGAGACUCGACCGGUGAAGGUCGAGGCCCCGAGGGCUCGUGGGAGAGCCUUUCAGCUGACUGCGGAGGAGGUCCGCGCUGCGCCCGAUGUUGUGGCAGGUAUGUUGUAAUUCAUGUAAUUAUUUUAAUGUCGAUAUGUUAUGCUUAUGUUAUUAUGCGCGUAGGUACUUUCCUUGUGAACUCUGUGCCUGCCUUAGUGUUAUUUGACUCGGGUGCGAGUAGGUCCUUUGUGUCCUUGGCCUUUAGUCAGCAUAUUGGCGUUAGUCGUGAGUCGUUGAGUCGACCUUUGAGAGUCUCUAUAGCUGACGAGAAGGUGAUUUGUGCUACGGAGGUUCUUCGGGGAUGUGUACUAGAGAUUUUCGGGGUUGGAUUCCCGAUUGAUCUGAUUCCUAUCGCGAUGGGGGAUGUCUGUGUCAUCGUGGGCAUGGACUGGUUGAGCCGGUUCGGCGCUGUCAUCGACUGUGAGCGUCAGUUGGUGACUAUACGAGACCCUAGUGGGGGAGUUCUUUCGGUAUACGGCGAGGGUACCCGUUCGGGAUCAGCUUUUUGUUCGGCCGCUAGGGCGAGGCAGUGUCUACGACAGGGCUGUAAGGGUUUCGUGGCGUAUGUGAUGGAUACGCGGGAGGUUUCUGAGAAACCGAAGUCAGUUGAGGAAGUUCCGGUGGUGCGCGAGUUUUCAGAUGUCUUUCCCGAGGAGUUGCCGGGAGUACCGCCUGUGAGGCAAGUAGAGUUUAGUAUCGAUCUGGUUCCGGGGGCAGCGCCUAUUGCUAAAGUGCCCUAUCGUCUUGCACCUCCAGAGAUGCAAGAGUUGUCCUCGCAACUCCAGGAGUUGCUGGGAAAGGGAUUCAUUCGGCCGAGCAGCUCGCCAUGGGGAGCACCUAUUCUGUUCGUCAAGAAGAAGGAUGGUUCACACCGGAUGUGCAUUGAUUACCGGGAGUUGAACAAGCUAACGGUCAAGAACCGUUACCCGUUGCCGAGGAUCGAUGAUUUAUUCGAUCAGUUGCAGGGAGCAUCUUGGUUUUCCAAGAUCGAUCUGAGGUCAGGAUACCAUCAGGUGAGAGUACGGGAUGAAGACGUCCAGAAGACAGCGUUUAGGACGCGAUAUGGGCAUUAUGAGUUUGUGGUGAUGCCUUUUGGACUCACCAAUGCCCCGGCUGUGUUCAUGGAUCUCAUGAACAGGGUAUGCAGGCCGAUGUUGGAUCGGUCAGUGAUUGUAUUUAUCGACGACAUUCUGGUGUAUUCGAGAUCUAGAGAGCAGCAUGAGGAGCAUUUGAGGGAGGUCCUUGAGGUAUUGAGGUCGGAGAAGCUUUAUGCAAAGUUCUCCAAAUGUGACUUCUGGUUGCGGGAGGUCCAGUUUCUAGGACAUGUGGUUAAUCAGAAAGGGAUAUUGGUCGAUCCGGCCAAGGUUGAGGCGGUGAUGAGUUGGGAGGUGCCGAAGUCACCCUCUGAGAUCAGAAGUUUCCUUGGGUUGGCAGGGUAUUAUCGGAGAUUUAUCAAGGAUUUCUCCAAGAUCGCAGUGCCACUCACCAGAUUGACCCGGAAGGGUGUUACAUUCUCAUGGGGGCCCGAGCAGCAGACCUCCUUUGAGACACUUCGCCAGAGAUUGUGCGAAGCCCCGGUAUUAGCUCUCCCAGAAGGGAUGGAAGAUUUCGUGGUAUAUUGCGACGCAUCGAUUUCGGGAUUGGGUGCAGUGUUAAUGCAGAGGGGUCAUGUGAUAGCUUAUGCGUCGAGGCAGCUGAAGCCUCAUGAGGCGAGAUAUCCCACGCAUGAUUUAGAGUUGGGGGCAGUAGUGUUCGCUCUCAAGAUUUGGCGUCACUACUUGUAUGGGGUUCGAUGUACGAUAUACACGGACCAUAAGAGUUUGAAGUAUUUGAUGGAUCAACCCAACCUAAAUAUGCGUCAGAGGAGGUGGUUGGAUGUGGUCAAGGAUUAUGAUUGUGAGAUCCUGUACCACCCAGGCAAGGCUAAUGUGGUAGCCGAUGCAUUGAGCCGCAGGGCGGAGAGCACUCCAUUGCGAGACGUAUGCUUGAGACUGACUGUGAUGACUCCAGUAUUGGACGCUAUUCGUGGGGCCCAGGCAGAGGCUGUGCGACCAGAAAUGCAGAAGAAAGAGCGGGUUGUGGGGUUAAUCUCAGAGUUUGUCAAGGAUAGUCGAGGCCUUAUGACGUUUCAGGGUCGGAUUUGGGUACCGUUCGUGGGCGGUACGCGUAUUACGUUGAUGGAAGAGGCUCAUAGAUCGAAAUUCUCGAUCCAUCCCGGUGCUACAAAGAUGUAUUUGGAUUUAAGGAAGGAAUAUUGGUGGCCCUGUAUGAAGAGGGACGUGGCAUGGUUCGUUGAGAGGUGCUUGACCUGCCGUAGGGUUAAGGCUGAGCACCAGAGACCGCAUGGCAAGUUACAGCCAUUGGAGAUCCCCGAGUGGAAGUGGGAACAGAUUACUAUGGAUUUUAUCACCAAAUUGCCGAGGACUGCUAGGGGAGUUGACGCAAUUUGGGUGAUCGUGGAUAGGUUGACAAAGAGUGCACACUUCCUUGCCAUCAGUGAGAGUUCUUCGGCGGAGAAAUUGGCGGAGAUAUACGUGAGAGAGGUGGUAUCUCGGCACGGGGUGCCGAUCUCGAUUGUGUCAGACCGUGAUGUGCGCUUUACUUCCAGAUUCUGGAAGAAAUUCCAUGAGGAGCUGGGUACUAAAUUGCAUUUUAGUACCGCAUACCAUCCCCAGACAGACGGUCAGAGCGAGCGGACAAUUCAGACACUGGAGGACAUGCUCCGAGCGUGUGUGUUAGACUUCGGGGGUAGUUGGGAUGCGUAUUUACCAUUGGCAGAGUUCUCCUACAACAACAGCCAUCAUUCGAGCAUUGGUAUGCCACCUUUUGAGCUGUUGUAUGGUAGGAGGUGUCGGACCCCCAUUUGCUGGGGAGAGGUGGGACAGAGAGUGAUGGGCAGCACGGAGAUCGUGCUCCAGACGACAGAGCAGAUUCAGCAAGUGAGACAAAGGUUAUUGACUGCCCAGAGCCGACAGAAGAGUUAUGCAGACAGGCGCCGAUCCGAGCUUGAAUUUCAGGUCGGCGACUUCGUUCUCCUGAAGGUCUCUCCUUGGAAAGGAGUGAUUCGGUUCAGGAAGAGAGGCAAGUUGGGGCCCCGGUAUAUUGGGCCAUUUCGUGUGAUUGCAAGGAUAGGUCGGGUAGCCUAUCGGUUGGAGUUACCAGCGGAGUUGGGUCAGAUCCAUGACACUUUUCAUGUGUCGCAGUUGAGGAAGUGCAUAGCCGAUGAGUCGGCAGUGGUUCCAUUGGAGGAUAUUCAGGUGGAUGCGAGCCUGAAUUACGCGGAGAGACCAGUGGCUAUCAGGGAUCGGAAGAUCAAGGUUCUGAGGAACAAGGAAGUACCUCUGGUGUUGGUUCAAUGGCAACACCGUAAGGGAUCAGAAAUGACUUGGGAACCGGAGCGCGAAAUGCGGGAGCAGCAUCCGGAACUAUUUGCAGAGUGAGACUUCGAGGGCGAAGUCUAAUCCAAGUGGGGGAGAGUUGUAACAGCCCGGAAUCUCAGGUAUUAUUAAAAUUAUGUUUUUUGGGUGGUUUAAGAGGGGACUCGGCGAGUUGGAGCCUAGACUCGCCGAGUAGGAUCGCAGACUUGGUCGCGGGUCCGCGACUGGACUCGACGAGUCCAGAUAUGGACUCGGCGAGUCGACGCUGUUCAGCAGAAACCCUAACCGUUCAGUUUGAAUCGUAUAUAACGCCUCUUAGGCCGUCAUUUUCCGUCUUUUGAUCGAUUGAAAGGAACCCUAAUCGUUGUGGACGUCUAGGGCAGGAGAGAAAGCUAUUGGAACUUGGAGGAACUUGUUAGACAAGAAGAAGAAGAAAUUGGCCAAAGGAAUAUCAAGGAGGAUCGAGUCCUGAGGUUUGGGGGACACAGAGAGAACGUUCUCAGGUAAUACUCGGAUCAAUUCUGUUAGUUAAUGUGUUUAUGAACCUAGGGUUUAUGAAAAACCCAUUUAGUGAUUAGAUGGGUUAUUAUGUUAUUACCCAGAUGUUAUACCCACAGUAAUGAGAUGUUUAGACGUCCAGAGAGUCCCAUGGUUGUAUAUCUUGGGACCAUACGUAAUUCAGGAAGCAGUUACUCGUCUGCAUGGCAUGGACUCGCCGAGUUGUUCUUCAGACUCGGCGAGUAGCUUGAAGAUUUACUGGGACUCGCCGAGUUGUUCUUCAGACUCGGCGAGUGGAGUCGGGGUGGCCCCGCGAUUCUUCCAGGAGUAACUCGUCGGGUCGAGGAGGGUACUCGACGAGUAGAUAAGGAAUCUCAGAAAGUUGGAGGACGUCUAGACUCGCCGAGUCGCCAUGGUACUCGCCGAGUCCGGUCGAGCUGACCGUUGACCGUUGACCAGAGUUGACCUAAGUCUGACUUCUUAGGGAUAGUCACCCUUAGAAGAUAUAAGUGUUAAUGAGAUAUGUGAUGUUAUAGGAAGGUUGUAGCUCGUCGGAUUGUGCACGAGUGAUUUCAGGAGUUGCUAGCUUUCAGCAUUUACGAGGUGAGUCUUCUCACUAUACUGUACCCGGAAGGGUUUGACUGUGUGACCGGAAGGUCGGAUAUGUUAUGUGAUAUGUAUGCUAUAUGUGGUAAGUUAUUUGUUAUAUGUGCUAUGUAUGAUAUGUGGGCCGGAAGGCAAUAUGUUAUGGGCCGGAAGGCGAUUAUGUUAUGGGCCGGAAGGCGUUGUAUUGAGGACCGGAAGGUCAGGGCCUGGAAAGGCGUAUGUGCGUAAGUGUAUAUUGGGGAACUCACUAAGCAUUUAUGCUUACAGUCAUUGUGCAUGUAUUUCAGGUACUAGCGAGGACCGUGGGAAGGCGCCGGCGUGAUCGAUACACACUGAAGACUGUUUUUAUGAUCUUGGGGUUUUGAAUAUUUGUAUUUGACGGAAUACUUAAACUAUUUAUGCCUUGUUUGAAUGGAAAUAAUUAUGUUUUAAAAAUGAAAAAAAAAAUUUGUUUGAAAAUUUGAGUUGUUACA